CCUGUCCUCCACCUGGUGGGACGGCUGUUAGUUAACAGUGUUAACAACAGUUCUCCUGACAGAUACCAUCAAAAGGGGGGUUGGGAUUCUACCGUCGCCAGUUCAGUAGUUUACGACUGGUGAAGAUAUGCAACCACCGCUAAAUUUCACGGUGUCUGAGGCCGGCAGCUCGAGUCCGCAGAGCCUGUUGAAGAGUUCCUCUUAAGUUUCUUGGUGCCUAGAGGAAGGGAGAUGUUGAUCCUUCAAGGAGACAGGUUCCUUAAUACAGGAUGGGUCCCAUUGUUCUACGGCUUUGAAGAAUGGAUUGGUCCCAUAGUACUAUGCCAUGAGCCCAACUCGCUCAGAUAAGCUGUGAGCGGUAAAUUUGGGCCUAGAUAUUAGAGUAUAGGUCUAUGCAGCAAGUGUGCACCAUAUA